rnacentral:lncRNA from 10 species
AGCAACAUGGAUGGAACUGGAGACCAUUAUCCUGAGAUAACUCAGAAACAGAAAGUCAAAUACUGCAUGUUCUCACUUAUAAAUGGAAGCUAAGUAAUGGGUGCACAUGGAUAUACAGAGUGAAAUAAUACACAUUGGAGACUACAAAAAGGUGCUCAGCUGGAUGGCUUCUGUUCUAGAGGCAGCCUAAGGUCCUGGAAUUUCAACAAAGUAUACUUCAAGCAAGAAGCAUUGGAUUCAAAGUGGAAUCUAGAAAGACUUCCAACCAGGUGGUGUUCCCAGAUGGAACAAUGCUUUAUUAGCAUCAUUAACAAAAAUACCAUGAUCAAAAAGGCAUGAAGAAAUAAUGACACUGAAAACAUCGAGUGACUUAUUCAUACAGGAUGAGGAUGAGCAGGAGAUGAACCCUUAUCAAAUUCUGGCUCUACACCAAGCACUGUGAGAGACCCACUGAUUUAUCCAGGCUUCUGGUCAUUCAUUCCACAAAAACAUAUUAAGUUUCCACUCUGGGCCAUGCAUUUGGCCCCUAGACCCAUCUGAAAAGAGGAGCUUUAAUCCUGGAUUACAUCUCAUUUUUGUAAUCUCAAUAGGAAAGCAGGUCUCAGAGCAGACCUCACGGUGAGGAGGAGGCAGGGGUACCCCCUCCCCAGAAGCACAGGCCCUGAAGCGUCGUUGGGUCCUUUCUCCCUUUGACAUCUGAUUUCCUCAUAGAUGACUGUCAUAGCCAUAAUUCAAUUGUCCCAGGACCAGCACAUGUGGGUCCAGUUUUGUCAGCCUGCAAGGACAUUGUGCAGCUUUGUUUGUUCCAGUGUGGGGAAGGGAGGUGUUGAUAAGCAUCAUCAUAAUCAGGAUCUGCUGUCCAUGACUUACCAUUCAUUUCCUAAUCAGUCAUCACAUUUUGUUCAAGCUUAAUGCUGACCUAUUGAAUUUAACGCCACAUUCUGCAGCAAAAAGCCACUGCUGUGUUUACUGGGGGAAAUCAGCUAGCUCUUACCCUUGUUGCUGUAGCACGCACAGGAAACUUAGAUUUUCAGGAUAUUCCCCCACCCCCGUGUUAUCUAGGAGUUCUCAUUUUGUUCAAAGAAUGUCCCCUCUGUCUUCCCGCUUUCCCUCCGUGGUGCCAAGACAACCUGAAUUACAUUAAAGCCCAGGCGGCUCGAUAUUUAGGCUGCUUUCCUCCUCUCUCCCUUACCCCAUUCCCAUCAACACACAUGCACACAUACACCUGUGUGCACACACCCAUGCACACACACAAAUGGGAUGUGAGCCAACAGAACACUGUGUGACCUUGAACCAGUCACAUCUUUCUAAGCUUCCAUUUCAUCAGCUGUAAAAUGAGGAGGGCAGACUCAGUUAUCCCUUUCUUUUCUAAUAUUGUAUGAUUCUAAUCUUCCCAUCAUUCUCAAAUGAUGGAAUUAGAAUUAUAAAAUGUCUGAAAUGGAAGACAUGCUGAAAACUAAUCCACUAAUGAAAUAAUAUCCCCAUAUUUCAAUUCUUCCUUAUUUUUUGAGACAGCGUCUCACUCUGUCUCCCAGGCUGGAGUGCAGUGACACAAUCUUGGCUCACUGAAGCCUCAACCUCCUGGGCUCAAAUGCUCUUCCCAUCUCAGCCUCCCAAGUACCUGGGACUACAUGUGCUCACCACUACACUAGGCUAAUUUUGUUCAUUUUUUUUGUACAGAGAAGGUCUCACUUUGUUGCCCAGGCUGGUCUCGAACUUCUGGGCUCAAGUGAUUCACCCACCUCGGCCUCCCAAAGGGCUGGGCCUACAGGUGUGAACUGCUGCACCCAGCCCACAUAUUUGAAUUAUUUUAGUGACACUUUCAUCCUUUUUUUCACAUCUCCACAUUACUAUCAUUCACUUAACUGGUUUUUCUUUAAAUUGACUUUUUUUUUUUUUUAGACAGAGUCUCGCUCUGCCGCCCAGGCUGGAGUGCAGUGGCAUGAUCUCAGCUCACUGCAAGCUCUGCCUCCUGGGUUCACGCCAUUCUCCUGCCUCAGCCUCCCAAGUAUCUGGGACUACAAGUGCUCGCCACCACGCCUGGCUAAUUUUUUCUAUUUUUAGUAGAGAUGGGGUUUCACCGUGUUAGCCAGGAUGGUCUCGAUCUCCUGACCUCGUGAUCUGCCCACCUCGGCCUCCCAAAGUGCUGGGUAAAUUAACCUUUUUACUUAAAUACAUAUAUUUAAAAGGCAUCCCUUAUCACUAUCACAAAUAGAAAACCAUAAUCAUUUGCUAUACAUGUAAUCAUAAUUAAAGGAAAAUAAAGCAAUCUAAGAAAAUUUUGGCUGGGCCCCACUGCCUGCCCAAGGACCCCAAGCUGCUGCUUGUCCCUCUCUGUGGAAAUGGCAGCAUAGUAUAUGUUUAAAGGCACUAAGGUCAUGUUGGCAUCAAAGGAGACUCUUUUUGCCCUAAUCAGAAUAGAAAAGAGCCACAUUCUCUCCCAAGGGAUGUCCAUUUUAUCUAAUACAGAGGCUAGGUGCCACCCAAGAUCUCUCUCAAGAACUUCACUUUGGAUAAAAUGGUCUCACCACUGUUCCUUAGGUUAACGUUGUAAUUAGUUCAUCUAAUGCUCCAAAUUGCCAAUAUCUGCAUCUUCUUCACCAUGACCUUCACCUGCUACCAUUGCCAGGCAGCUCCUGUGAGAAAACAGAUAUGCUCAGAAACACACACACGCACAAGCACAUGCUCCAAAACAAUUUUUUAAACAACAUAAUGCUUCCCUGGCACUUCCCCAAGUCCACUGCUCUAGGAAUCGCUGACCUCGGGCAGGUCUACGUCACUACUUUUUCUAAAGAAAUCGCUGCCCAUGUACAACAAAGAGCAACUUCCAUUGAGCAUUUGGGGAGCUCUUGAAGCGACUUCCUUUUUUCCUUCUCUCUCUUUAUAGACGCGAUGUGGAGUAGGGAGCAGGUGGUACACCCUUGUGGGAAAACAGGUACAGAGACUGUGGGGGGCAGACAGGGACAAAAGAGAGAGAGACACUGCCUUCUGCUUAUUUUGUGUGGUAUAGGAAGAAAAUAUUUAAACGUUUCUACUUUAGAUACAGUCUGGCUUCCAAUUCCAGUUCUAUCAUUUUCUAGCAACAUAAAUUUGGGCAAGUUGCUCAGCCCCUCUGAGCUUUAAUCUCCUCCUUAGCAAAAUGGCUCUGGUGACACACCCUUCCUUGCGUUGUGAGUGUGUAAGGCAGGUAUGGUACCAGGCGCCGAGAUAAACAUUCAUCUAACAGUCCCUUCCUCUUUUACCUUUUGUUUGUUUGUUUUUACUUUGGCACCAUUUAUGAAGGUCCAAAAUAAAUCCCUUUUUUAUUUGUUUGGUUGUUUGUUUGUUUUGCCUUCUAAAUCCUGAGUCUCAUCUACAAAGUGGAAAAAAAAAAAAGGCUGUGAAUUUCCAUAAUGUAAGUUUCGUUUUCUAUGACUCGAUUAUGGCAAGUGAUGUAUAAAGGCUGAGUGGAGUGACAAGGAGGGGCACAGAGAAGAGGGAGGACAAACUUUACACCAGCAAAUCCAACAAUCGGCCCCUUUUGAAAAAUCAUUAGCAGCCUGCUGGAAGCUCCAAGUCUCCCAGAUUUGGGAUAUGAGAGAGUAACAACAUGAAUCUAGAAAAUGUGGUGCCUUUCGUGCAUAGAUUUGAAUUAGAGAAUUCUUGGUCAGUUUUGCAUAUGAAGUUGGGGAGAAGGCGUGGGCGGCGCAAAGAAAAACAGAGAAACACCUCCCCCUGCUGCCUGGAUGGCGAAUAGCAGCAAAGAUGCAAAAAAAAAAAAAAAAAUUCCAUGGUCAUAUAAAAACCCUCAGCCUAUUCCGAGGGUUUGCAAAGGAUUCACUAUGUGCAGGCAGCUGAAUUUUAUGGAAUGCAUUUUCCUAUCCUAAGUUACCUUCAAAGGUCAUAAAAAAUGAUCUUAGGACAUUAUUACAAUGAUGAUGCUUUCCACUGGGCAUGUUGUUAUUUGUUUCUUGAACAGGAAAUAUAUUAGCGUAACUUUUAAAUUAAAAUGAUAUAAAAGUUAUAAUUGAAAAGUCUUGUUUCUGACUGCCUUACGUAUACCUAGCUACUUUUAUUAGCUUUUCAUAUAAAUAUAAGUAAAUGUGACUAAUGUAGUCUUCUUUUUUUCCUUCUUACACAAUAAUUAGCUGUUUGACACUCUUCCGGAUAUUGUUUUUGUCACUUAACAACAUAACUUGGUGAUCCUCCCAGAGCCGAAAAGCUCUCCCAGAUAUGUUUCAGGGCAGCGUAACCUUCCUUGUUCUUCCUUCACUGAGCAUGUUAUAUGUGGAAAGAACACAUCCCCACUUGGGGAAACCAGAUAAAUUGUUUAAAUUAUUGCAAAUGUGAAUGAUUUUAAUGUAGAAAUAACCUUUUUCAUUCCACAUUAAUCACAAAUACUGUUCACAACCCUUCGUAAUAAACUUGUCUCCUGCUUAUUUUUUUUUUUCUGGUAUUCCUUGUGAUUAGAAUCUCUCGCCUUGGUAUCCGCUGUGUUCAAGAGCAGAACAGAGCUUUGAACUUUACAGGCUAGUGCUCAGAAUUAAAAGUGCUUAAUGCCACCAAGAUUUCUAUUAAAAAACCCAGGGUAAAGGAAAAAGCCUUUUGCUUCAGCUGAAAUGUUCUUGUAAAGGGCAAAAUGGAAAAUACAAACACCACUGCCGUUUGCUGGUUGGAUACCACAGCCAUCGGCACCUCCUGGAAAUGGCAAGCCCAUGAGUUCCUGAUGGAAGCCAAGGUUAGUCUUAUUGCAUUUGAGAGAGUUAGAAAAGUGUCUUUCAGUGUGGACAGAGAGCCAGCAAGAUUGUGAAGGUCAAAGAAAAAUCCAAUUAUCCAUAGCAAACACUGACCAUACAAUUAAAUUACACCAGUCAGGAAAGCAUCUGAUCUUCUGCAACGGACUUCUUCCAGCAAAUUUACCCUUGAAUCAGUCUGGGCCAUUCAUUGGCAGCCAGCUGAUCAGUUUCCUUCUGCUGCCCUGCAUCCUGCAACAUGUCUGUAGCAGAUGUAUCACUGCCCACCUACAUCCCCUUGGCCCACCCCAGAGGUCACCUGCAGCUGCAGUGGUCAAC